GGGUUGUGAGGUUAAGCGAAUAAGCGUACACGGUGGAUGCCUAGGCAGUCAGAGGCGAUGAAGGACGUGCUAAUCUGCGAUAAGCGCCGGUAAGGUGAUAUGAACCGUUAUAACCGGCGAUUUCCGAAUGGGGAAACCCAGUGUGAUUCGUCACACUAUCAUUACCUGAAUAC
rnacentral:rRNA from 1 species